rnacentral:rRNA from 1 species
AAGGAAUUUUCGGCAAUGGGCGCAAGCCUGACCGAGCAACGUCGCGUGGAGGAUGACGGCUUUCGGGUUGUAAACUCCUUUUGGGGGGGAUGAUUGUGACAGUACCCCUUGAAUAAGCCCCGGCUAACUCCGUGCCAGCAGCCGCGGUAAGACGGAGGGGGCAAGCGUUGUCCGGACUCACUGGGCGUAAAGGGUGCGUAGGCGGUUUGGUGCGUCGGCGCUGAAAUCCGUGGGCUUAACCCACGGGCGCAUGCCGAUACGACUUGACUUGAGGCUCGGAGAGGGUGGGAGAACUCCUGGUGUAGUGGUGAAAUGCGUAGAGAUCAGGAAGAAUACCUGUGGCGCAAGCGCCCACCUGGCCGAGACCUGACGCUGAGGCACGAAAGCGUGGGGAGCGAAC